UCUUUCUCUCUCUCCUCUCUUCCCUGCGUUCUUGUUUUCUUGUUUUCUUUCUUUCCCCUCUUUCUUGCUUUCUUUUAGAUUUCCCUCUUCAUCUCUCGCUUUCUCUCUGUCUUUUUCUACUACGUCCUUCCUCUCUCUCCUUUCUUCUGUCUCUCUUAUUGCCCCCCUCCAUCGCCCUAUCUUUUCCCCUUUUUUUUGGGAACUUCUUCUUUCAACCGGACUAUGUUCGGGAUAUUGUUGCUGGUAAAGAAAAUAAAUAACUCAGUAAAUAAAGCAGCCUCCUGUUAUGACAAAUUCCAAGCCGAAGCAACACUUCAUGUGUUAAAAUGCCCCUUGAGGAAAAACAAACAAAAAGAAAGAGACAAAAGCCUUUAAGAACAGGAUCGCUGUCCCUUGCGGAGGUGUGGGAGGGGCGCAGGGCGCACCUCGCCCCCAGCCCCACUGCGGCGCAGCUGUCGGUGCCCCUGGCACCCCGAUGAACGCUGCGGACACUUCUCCCGGGGAGGAGGGCUUGCAGGAUCAGCCCUCGGCGUAAAUCACCGGCAAACCCUCUGCAGGGCCGGCAGCACCGGGAAUGGGCAGCUCGGCAGUGCUCUGCGGUUCCCUCCCCAUCACUUUUCUUUCUUUCGUCUCUGCCAGCGCGUUAAAACUAUUGCGAAAAUAGCGAGGGAUCACGUCAGCUCUUUGCGGAGGCUGAACCGCCUGAUGGAUCACCUUCGGCUCAGCCGGGCGCUAUCCAGGCGGCUCCUGCCACCCGGCCCCUCGCUGCUGCCUGGGUGGGCAGGCGGGAGCCUGGCACCCGUGUCGGCCGGGAGCCCUCGUUACCCCGGGGGGCAUCGCUUAACGCGGGGCCAGCGUGAGAACAACGCCGUCCGCUGCCUCUGGGCACAUUCUUCUUUAGAAAUGGAGAGGAAAAAUGAAGGAGCGUUGGUAGGGGGAUUGUAGAUAGUCAGAUUCUGAAGAAGAAGGAGCCUGUCAUUUUAUCUCGGGGUUUCUCGGAAACGCUGAGCGAGCCAGACGCUGCGGCGGCUCCCGCCCUGCUCGGCGCUGCAGCCGCCGCCGGUGCCUUUCCCCUCCGCUGGCCAAGUGCAUCACUGGGGACGCGGCUCCGGGAGUGCUCGAGGAGGAUUUGUAUCUAUUUUUCCCAGAGAAGGGUUUUUCUUUCUGUGUCUUUUGCCUAAGCCAGGUGUCAAUCCAAAGUCCACUUCCAAACUCAUCCCUUGCAAUCGGUAUCUGACUUUCUCUGCAUCUACAUCCCCCCAGCCAACAUCUAAUUCAGCCAAACACAGCAAAUAUCUCUACCUCAAGUCCAAGAAUCUGAUGGAUACUCCUUUACCCCUGCUUAAUGACUACAUGUGACCUGUCCUGUGAUCUGCCAAGGUCCGGAGUCAUCUGACAUUGGUAGUAAUGGGGAAUGGAGAAGGAUUUUAUGGCUUUGGACUGUUGGAGAGAAGAGAGGAGAUGGUAAAUGGAAUUAAGACCAUUUGGUUCAGCAUAAAGAUGCAAAAAAUUCUUAUAAACAUUACAGGCCCACAAGUGGAUCAAACCAGUCCUGCACUGUUGUACUUAGUCUAUAGUAAAACUCCCUUUGAGGAAGAUUCUGCAGACUUAAGGACCGAGGAGUUAGGACUGGGAACUAAGGAAAGGACAUGAGUAACUUCCUUCAUAGCUGGUUUUAAAAAGCCAGCUGCUUUCUACAGUCAAGUCAAAACUAAGGGAGAUGGUCUGAGGUUAAGAAAUAUGCAGGAUAAUUGUCACACCAAAUGUGAAAAAUGAGAAAUUAUUUUAACAUGUUGUAACUUGUCAUAAAAAUAUAUGUUCCUUUCCAUCUUUAAAAGAAGACUUUAUAAACUCUACUGUCUUUGAUUUUUAAAACGAUUUUAUAUUGAUUUUUUAAUUCAUAUGUUCUUAAGAAAGCAUAAUGAAACACUUGAUGUUUCUAUUAUCUUAUUAGUGCUUCAUUAUAUAAGGAUUUGGUUAUUGAAACAUACACUAAAUAUUGCAUUGUAAAUUGUGUUGUGACUUAUUCAAUACCUUUUGGAAUUAAUAGUAAAAAUUCAAGACUGCAAAAAUGGUAUUUAAUUUUUAAUUUUAUUUUGUUUAAUA